ACGGGAGGCAGCAGUGGGGGAUAUUGCACAAUGGAGGAAACUCUGAUGCAGCAACGCCGCGUGAAGGAAGAAGGCUUUCGGGUUGUAAACUUCUUUUAAGUGGGACGAUAAUGACGGUACCACUUGAAUAAGCUCCGGCUAACUACGUGCCAGCAGCCGCGGUAAUACGUAGGGAGCAAGCGUUAUCCGGAUUUACUGGGUGUAAAGGGCGUGUAGGCGGGACAGCAAGUCAGAUGUGAAAGCACGAGGCUCAACUUCGUGUCUGCAUUUGAAACUGCUGUUCUUGAGUGCUGGAGAGGCUAACGGAACUCCUAGUGUAGCGGUGAAAUGCGUAGAUAUUAGGAAGAACACCAGUGGCGAAGGCGGUUAGCUGGACAGUAACUGACGCUGAGGCGCGAAAGCGUGGGUAGCAAACAGGAUUAGAUACCCUGGUA
rnacentral:rRNA from 1 species